UUACGUGUUGCACUCGAGUGCAAAGAUUUUUCACCUUGUGCUCUUUUGAAUCCCUCGCUAUCGCUCAGGAUUCUAAUUAUUGAAACACUCGCUACGCUCGUGUUUCAAUUUUAGAAUCCUUCGCUUGCUCGGUCAUCAAAAUUGAGCCCGCGGUUAAAAAGCAACUUUGCACUCUUGUAUAACAAAUAACUAUUUUUUGUAUCGACGUUAAAAAUCAUCAAAUGACCCUUCCCGCUGUGGGUUAGCAGCGGUGAGGGAGUGUCAGACUCUUACUGAUUAAAAACCGUCGUGUUCUGUUCUCAAGUAGACUUUUCUUUUAUAUCUUUGUUACUUGAUUUCUGGAAGGUUUCAAAAUUCCAAAUACGCGAGCGAAGCGAGCGGGAAAUUUUUAUCGGAAUUUUAAACCAAAAAU